rnacentral:rRNA from 1 species
GCUUGCUAAUGAAAUUCUUAGUGGCGGACGGGUUAGUAACACGUGAGAAUCCUACCCUUGAGUGGGGAAUAGCCUUUCGAAAGGAAGAUUAAUGCCCCAUAGUCUCUACGGAGUAAAGAUGCCUUCGGGUGUCGCUUAAGGAUGGGCUCGCGGCCUAUCAGCUAGUUGGUGAGGUAAGAGCUCACCAAGGCAACGACGGGUAGCUGGUCUGAGAGGACGAUCAGCAACACUGGAACUGAGACACGGUCCAGACACCUACGGGUGGCAGCAGUCGAGAAUCAUUCACAAUGGACGAAAGUCUGAUGGUGCAACGCCGCGUGGAGGAUGACGGCCCUAGGGUUGUAAACUCCUGUCAUCAGGGAGUAAGACUUAUUCGUUAAUAGCGUGUAAGUUUGAUAGUACCUGAAGAGGAAGGGACGGCUAACUUCGUGCCAGCAGCCGCGGUAAUACGAAGGUCCCAAGCGUUGUUCGGAAUAACUGGGCGUAAAGCGUGUGUAGGCCGCGCGGAAAGUCGGAUGUGAAA